rnacentral:rRNA from 1 species
CUAUUAUUAAGAGAAAGAUAUUGUUAGUAUAUAAAUAUUAUGAAAACAAAAAAUUAUGGCGGUAUUUUAAGCUUUUCAGAGGAAUUUGCUCUUUAAUGGAUAAAACACCAAUAUCUUACUAAAAUUGGUUAAACAGCUUGUAUACCACUAUUUAAGUAAUAAUUUAUUAUUAUUACUAUAAUUUAUAAUAUAAUAUAUGUUAAGUCAAGGUGCAGCAUAAGUUUUAGAAUGAAGUGAAUUACAUUUCUUUUAAGAAAUAUAAAAUGAAAAAGAAAAUUAGGAUUUGAAAGUAAAAUUUUAAUAAAAUGGAAAUUUGAAUUAAGCUCUAAAAUAUGUACACAUCGCCCGUCGCUCUCAUU